GACAGCGUAGUGUAGUGGUUUGAGUGUUGGACUAUGACUCUGGAGACCAGGGUUCAAUUCCCAGCUCAGCCA